GAUGAACGCUGGCGGCGUGCCUAAUACAUGCAAGUCGAGCGAACAGACGAGGAGCUUGCUCCUCUGACGUUAGCGGCGGACGGGUGAGUAACACGUGAUAACCCUACCUUUAGACCUGGGAUAAUUUGGGAAAACGGGGGCUAAACCGGGAAAUUUAUUUAAACCGAAGGUUUCAUUAGGAAAAACCGGUUUGCCUGUAACUAUUAAUUGAACCGCGCCGGAUUAGCUAGUUGGUAAGGUAACGGCUUACCAAGGCAACGAUGCGUAGCCGACCUGAGAGGGUGAUCGGCCACACUGGAACUGAGACACGGUCCAGACUCCUACGGGAGGCAGCAGUAGGGAAUCUUCCGCAAUGGGCGAAAGCCUGACGGAGCAACGCCGCGUGAGUGAUGAAGGUCUUCGGAUCGUAAAACUCUGUUAUUAGGGAAGAACAAAUGUGUAAGUAACUAUGCACGUCUUGACGGUACCUAAUCAGAAAGCCACGGCUAACUACGUG
rnacentral:rRNA from 1 species